AACGAUAGCUCAGUUAUCAUCAACAUUCAGCAGCUGGUUGCGAUGGUUACUAGUAUCGCCUUAGAAACGCUACUGAUAAGCUGGUGACCACAUGUGCUUCAUGCAGAGAGAGAAGACAUUUUGUGAUUGGCCUUAGUUUUGAUUGGUCAACACUCGGGGCUUGCUUAUCAACUUGUUGAAAAUCUGUACAACGUAAUCGUUCCCCCAGAUACAACAUACAGAAUAUGAAAAUUCCGUCGACUUCGGUUGUACAAGAGAAGCGGGUAUCCUUGUUCCGCCGCCAGAGGUCCUACAAGGCCGCCACGACUUACAGAGAACUGGUGAAAAAGAAGGUACUGAAACGGGUUCAUGGGAAACUACAAAGAAUCCACGAGUAUCGUCGGCUGAGGUCAAUGGUUCCCAGUGUUGCUAAGAAGCCGCACGUGCCCAAGGUAACGAUCAUAGAAGAAGCAAUCCGUUAUAUCGAACAACUACAUAACGCUCUGCUGACGAGAUUAAGGACACGAGGUCUACCCUCAUGCCUUCAAGGCAUGGACAUUGACAUUCAUAGCUUUGGUCAUUCUCAAAUUCAAGACCUCGUGCGCCAUCUGAUGGUGAAUUCUAACACUUCUUCUUCUACUGGAGUACCUGUAAGUUUGUCAAGAAAUGCUUGCGAGAAAACAAGACCUAUUCCAUCAUAUCUUCUACGGAAGGGGAAGAAAAUGGAAUUGUCUGAGCAGUAGUAGUAGUCGUUUGGUUUUUCGUGAGGUGUCAGAGUUCACGGAUCUGCCUUAAUUCUCUCAUCCUUCUACAUAAACCCGUAAAGUAAAUCAAGUGGCUGUGCACUGUUUCUCGCUGUUGCUUAAUAUUUGGACUGAUGACUUUGACACUAGUGCUGUUCAGGGCUUUCAAGGAUACUAUGGGCUUACGUGUAAAGGGAAGUACCCUGAAACAAGUGGACACUAGUGCUACUCCGGUCUAACUAUGGGCUUACGUGUAAAGGGAAGCACCCUGAAACAAGUGAACACUAGUGCUACUCCGGUCUUACUAUGGGCUUACGUGUAAAGGGAAGCACCCUGAACAAGUGGACACUAGUGCUGUUCAGGUCUUUCAA
rnacentral:lncRNA from 1 species